rnacentral:ncRNA from 1 species
AUCGUAUGGCUACUUUGCCAUCUGGUGGAUAGCUCGGCUCGAGAACCGAAGAAGGACGCGCCAAGCUGCGAUAAGCCUCAGGGAGCUGCAUGGAAGCGAAGAACUGAGGAUCUCCUAAUGGGAAUCCCUUCACAAUUGCCUUUGCGCAAUAGGGAACGUCGGGAACUGAAACAUCUUAGUACCGACAGGAAAAGAAAGCAAACCGCGAUGUCGUUAGUAACGGCGAGUGAAGACGACACAGUCCAAACCGAAGCCCUCACGGGCAAUGUGGUGUUCGGACUGGUCAUAACCGGUCUGUUGUUGACGAGAAGUCUUCUGGAACGAAGCGUGAUACAGGGUGACAACCCCGUAUCGUCGACAAACGACCGCGGACCAACUCCAGAGUAUCGGGGGUCGGAUAUCCCUCGUGAAUUUGGCUGGCAUCCUCAGCCAAGACUAAACAUUCCUCGAGACCGAUAGCGAACAAGUAGCGUGAGCGAACGCUGAAAAGCACUCCGAGAAGGACCGUGCAAUAGAGCUUGAAAUCAGGUGGCGAUGGAACGACGGGGCAUGAAAGGC